GAGCUUGCUCCUUUGACGUUAGCGGCGGACGGGUGAGUAACACGUGGAUAACCUACCUAUAAGACUGGGAUAACUUCGGGAAACCGGAGCUAAUACCGGAUAACAUAUUGAACCGCAUGGUUCAAUAGUGAAAGGCGGCUUUGCUGUCACUUAUAGAUGGAUCCGCGCCGUAUUAGCUAGUUGGUAAGGUGACGGCUUACCAAGGCAACGAUACGUAGCCGACCUGAGAGGGUGAUCGGCCACACUGGAACUGAGACACGGUCCAGACUCCUACGGGAGGCAGCAGUAGGGAAUCUUCCGCAAUGGGCGAAAGCCUGACGGAGCAACGCCGCGUGAGUGAUGAAGGUCUUCGGAUCGUAAAACUCUGUUAUCAGGGAAGAACAUAUGUGUAAGUAACUGUGCACAUCUUGACGGUACCUGAUCAGAAAGCCACGGCUAACUACGUGCCAGCAGCCGCGGUAAUACGUAGGUGGCAAGCGUUAUCCGGAAUUAUUGGGCGUAAAGCGCGCGUAGGCGGUUUUUUAAGUCUGAUGUGAAAGCCCACGGCUC
rnacentral:rRNA from 1 species